rnacentral:rRNA from 1 species
UGUACAAGGUUAAGCCCAACCUUAGUGAAACCGCGAAUGGCUCAUUAAAUCAGUUAUAAUCUCAAAGAUGUCACUUUAGAAGGAUAACUGCGGUAACCCUGCAGCUAAUACUUGCGAAUCGUAGGCUGUCAAUGCUUCGCGCUUCACGCCCUAUUACUUUAAUUAGAAGAACCGAUGGCUCUGGUUAGUGUCAUUCUGCGUGUAGAUCUCUGAAUUACUGAAGGAUCAAGCAGCGAAAAGCGUAUUGACGAUCUGUGAGUAUCUGACCUAUCACCUAUUGUCGGUAGUGUAACGGACUACCGAGGGUGUAACGGGUAACGGGGAAUCAGGGUUCGAUUCCGGAGAGGGAGCCUGAGAAACGGCUACCACAUCCACGGAAGGCAGCAGGCGCGCAAAUUACCCAAUCUCGGUACGAGGAGGUAGUGACGAGAAAUAACAAUAUGAACCCAUGUGGUUUGUGAUUGGAAUGAGAGAAAUGUAACUACUUUCAUU